ACGCUCGACACCUACGGGAGGAGCAGUGAGGAAUAUUGGUCAAUGGGCGCAGGCCUGAACCAGCCAAGUAGCGUGAAGGAUGACUGCCCUAUGGGUUGUAAACUUCUUUUAUAUGGGAAUAAAGUUUUCCACGUGUGGAAUUUUGUAUGUACCAUAUGAAUAAGGAUCGGCUAACUCCGUGCCUGCAGCCGCGGUAAUCUGAGCGGGCUGGCAAGGC
rnacentral:rRNA from 1 species